UAGGGAAUAUUGCACAAUGGGCGAAAGCCUGAUGCAGCAACGCCGCGUGCGCGAUGACGGCCUUCGGGUUGUAAAGCGCUUUUCGGGGAGAUGAGGAAGGACAGUAUCCCCGGAAUAAGGCUCGGCUAACUACGUGCCAGCAGCCGCGGUAACACGUAGGAGCCAAGCGUUAUCCGAAUUCACUGGGCGUAAAGCGCGUGUAGGCGGCUUGGUAAGUUGGAUGUGAAAGCGCCUGGCUCAACUGGGAGAGGACGUUCAAUACUGCCG
rnacentral:rRNA from 1 species